rnacentral:rRNA from 1 species
CCUACGGGAAGCAGCAGUGAGGAAUAUUGGUCAAUGGACGAGAGUCUGAACCAGCCAAGUAGCGUGAAGGAUGACUGCCCUAUGGGUUGUAAACUUCUUUUAUAUGGGAAUAAAACGUUCCACGUGUGGGAUUUUGUAUGUACCAUAUGAAUAAGGAUCGGCUAACUCCGUGCCAGCAGCCGCGGUAAUACGGAGGAUCCGAGCGUUAUCCGGAUUUAUUGGGUUUAAAGGGAGCGUAGGUGGAUUGUUAAGUCAGUUGUGAAAGUUUGCGGCUCAACCGUAAAAUUGCAGUUGAAACUGGCAGUCUUGAGUACAGUAGAGGUGGGCGGAAUUCGUGGUGUAGCGGUGAAAUGCUUAGAUAUCACGAAGAACUCCGAUUGCGAAGGCAGUUCACUGGACUGCAACUGACACUGAGGCUCGAAAGUGUGGGUAUCAAACAGGAUUAGAUACCCGAGUAGUC